rnacentral:tRNA from 1 species
GCCUGGGUAGCUCAGUCGGUAAGGCGGCUGACUCUUGGUCUCAGCUCAGGUCAUGAUCUCGGGGUCAUGGGAUCGAGCCCCAUGUCAGGCU